AUCCAGCUAACGAAUUCCAAACAGGACGAAACGCGCGUCAAACUGGAU
rnacentral:hammerhead_ribozyme from 1 species